rnacentral:rRNA from 1 species
GUCCAGACUCCUACGGGAGGCAGCAGUGGGGGAUAUUGCACAAUGGGGGGGACCCUGAUGCAGCGACGCCGCGUGGGUGAAGAAGUAUUUCGGUAUGUAAAGCCCUAUCGGCAGGGAAGAAAUUGGACGGUACCUGACUAAGAAGCCCCGGCUAACUACGUGCCAGCAGCCGCGGUAAUACGUAGGGGGCAAGCGUUAUCCGGAUUUACUGGGUGUAAAGGGAGCGUAGACGGCGAUGCAAGUCUGAAGUGAAAGGCGGGGGCCCAACCCCCGGACUGCUUUGGAAACUGUAUAGCUGGAGUGCAGGAGAGGUAAGUGGAAUUCCUAGUGUAGCGGUGAAAUGCGUAGAUAUUAGGAGGAACACCAGUGGCGAAGGCGGCUUACUGGACUGUAACUGACGUUGAGGCUCGAAAGCGUGGGGAGCAAACAGGAUUAGAUACCCUAGUAGAU